GCUAGACCCCAGGUCAGACGUGGCUACCCGCCGAGUUUAAGCAUAUUAAUAAGCGGAGGAAAAGAAACU
rnacentral:rRNA from 1 species